CCAUAGUUGAGCUGUGAAGCUGGAGGUUGUGGAUUGAGGUUCAUUCCAUGACAAAUUGGUAUUACAGCUGGCGCAUAUUACCGGGUAAUUGUUAGAUAUGGAUACAAGGUUGAAAACAAUUGAUGAACAUUUGAAGAAAUUAGAUAUCGAAGUGGGCGAAUUUGGGUACAACUUUUAAAGCUAUUAUUAGCAAGGAUUAUUCUAUAUGUACAAAAUCAAUGACAAACUUGACAAGUGGUGGCCCCCUGUUGGUGGAGUGGUGGUGGGGCCAGCCGCCCCGCUAACAGAGAGCCGCCACUUGUCAAGUUUGUCAAACUUUUAGUAAUUGAUUUUGUACUUGUAGACUAAUCCUUAUUAGCAAACUCGAGAAUAAACUUGAAUCUACAUACCAGACUCUUCAAGUACCAGGUAGUAGCCAUGAGAAAUAGAAGAUGUCUUGCUAGAAUUGAACCAAAAGUACGAAAAUGUGGUUGCAUUUAUGGCUCAAAUCUCUACUGAUUUGAAAACUAAUCAGAAGGACAAGGGAAUAGGUGAAUCUAUAGUUGAAUUGAAACUUGGAAGUGUGACUUCUCCACCAGGAGCUAGUAGCAAUGAGGCUAGUAUCAUCACUAGAGGUGAAUUGAAUGUGAACACUAGGCUACCUAAGAUCGAUUUCCCUCAUUUUGGGAAAAAGUCCUAAAGAGAUUUUGAGAAAGGCCAGGAAAUAUUUUAAAUUAUACCAAGUGCCAUAUGAACUCAAAGUAGGUAUGGCAGAAAUGUAUUUGAAAGGAAAGGCAGACAUUUUGUUUGAUAGAUUCAUAGCCGUCACCCGAAAGCUAGUCGGAAUCUAUUUUCAGUGGAACUCUGCAGGAGAUUAGCAGAAACUACUUAAGAAGUAGUAGUAGAAAGCUUCAGUGAGAUCAAGCAACUUGGAACUAUAGAGGAAUAUCAGGAGAAAUUCGAGGAAUUGGAAUCAGAAGUGAUGCUCGCAUUACCUCAUGUCUCAGAAUUCUACUAUAUUGUUGGAACUAUAGAGGUCUAAAAGGAGAGAUUAGAUCAAUGGUUAAAAUGAUAAAACCCAAUACACUAGCUAAGGCGUUUGAGAUAGUAGCCUAUAGGAAUCUACUAUUCAAGCCAUCCACAAAUUCUAGAAACCAAAAGGACGCACUGCAUACAAGUAGAGUCCCUACCCCCAAAACCACCUGAAGAAAAUAGAGCUAAAGACCCGUAACCAAAAACCAGUAAACCUCCGAACAGCUACAAAACAAUUACCCCCACUGAUUUCCAAACCUGGGGAAAUUUGGGGCUUUGUUACAAGUGUGAUGAGAAAUACACUUUCUGUUAAUGCAUUGGUUGGUAGUUCCAAGCAUAGAACUAUAAGGGUGCUAGGGGUAAUCAAAGAGAGAGAAAUAUCUAUCCUGAUAGAUAACGAUAGCACACAUGGAUUUAUAAAUGAAGGAUUGGCCAGAGAGUAAGCAAACUCUGAAUACUAGAUAUGACCUCAAAAUAACAGGGGUCAAGGUUGGUUAGUGAGAACUUGGUCAUUGAUGGAAAUAAAACAUUGACAAUCAGGGUGGCAAACGGUGAGAAAUUAGAGAGGUAGGCCCUUUACUCGCCCCUGACUUGGAAGAUGCAAAACUGGGAAUUCCAAUACCAUCUAAGAAUAUUGAAACUGUGUUGUAGUGACAUUGUAUUUAGGGCUGGACAAAUAUCUUGAAUCGAACCGACCGAACCGAACCCGACGAUUCUUGUCAAAUUAAAUACCCGAACGGGUAUCUGAAUUGAAAACCGACGGGUAAGAUUCGAUUCUCGGUUCUAGACCAAGAACCGAAGAAUCGAAUAAAAACCGAAUCUUUCUAAUUUUUUUUAUAUUGAAUAAAUCAAAUUAUUUUAAUUUCAAAUUUUUCUAAACAAAUUAACACAUUAACAAUUUCUAAACCCAAAUUUUUGGCCCAAUAAUUUGUUUCUUUUCUAAUUUUUUAAUUUUUGACCCAAUUGCCCAUUUUAUUGUUUCAUUUCUUAGUCAAGUAAGAUCAAAUCCACUAAAUAACCCUAAACACCAACACUAAAGUACAUAGCAUUGUCUCGACUCUCGCACUCACUCUGCAGCCUCGCUAAUAUUCCAAAACCUAUACAAUCAUCGGUUGACACUGUGACCUCCGAUCGAAGCUGUGACCUUCGCCAACCGAAGUUUUGAUCGUAACGAUCAUUUAAACAAGAUAGUUUACUAAUCUCUGACGUUCCAAAACCAUUAAAUGUAUCAUUAGUUGUAUUUAUAUAAUGUUGUUAUAAAUAAUUUAAUUAUAGUACAGAAUCGAACGGAACUGAACCGAACCGAACUGAACGAAACGAAACGAAACCCGAACGGUUCCAUAAUUAUAUUUGGAUCCGACGAUUCCAUUUACUAGAUACCCGAAAAGUUUGGUUCGGUUCUAAGGAGAACCGAACCGACUCGCGCCCACCCCUAAUUGUAUUGGGAGUAAAAUGGAUGAGUCAAUUUUGCCCAAUCAUGUUCGACUUUGCUCAAGGGUAUAUUAAGUUCAGACAUGAAGGUGCAGAAGCAACCUUGAGGAGUAAGGACACUAUACAAGUUGUGAAGAUAAUUGGAGCAAAGGAGAUGAAGAAUCUAUUUAGAAAGAGUAGUUGUGGUAUUUCUGGGCGAUUUUACACAUUACAGAGGGAAAGAAGAAGGAAAUUCGAAAACUGAUCGUAGAAAUUAUCAACUCAUUCCCAGGUGUAUUAAAAGAUCCCAUGGUUGCCUCUCCGUAGGACCCAUCACCACAAGAUUCCACUAAAAGAGGAAUCUCAACUUUUAAAAUCAGGCCAUAACAAUGUCCCUUUGUUUAGACAAUCGAAAUUGAGAAAACUAGUUAAAGAAAUGUUGGAUAGUGGGAUAAUUCAUCCCAGUAACAGCCCAUUUGCAUCUCCUGUUCUAUUAGUAAAAAAGAAGGAUAGGUCCUGGCGUUUUUGUGUAGAUUACAGACACUUAAACAGCUUAACUAUCAAGGACAAGUUCUCUAUGCCACUGAUUGAUGAACUUCAUGGGUCUAAGUAUUGUUCUAAAAUAGAUCUCAAGGCUGGCUAUCACCAAAUUAGAGUUACUCAAACAGGCAUUCACAAGACAGCUUUCCAAACACACCAAGGCCUUUACGAGUUCAAAAUGAUGACAUUUGGGCUCAUGAAUGCCCCUGCUACAUCCCAAAGCUUCAUGAAUGAGGUAUUUAAAGAGUAAUUGAGAGAUUAUGUCUUAGUCUUCUUUGAUGAUAUAUUGGUUUACAACCAUGACUUGACUACCUACUGUUAGCACCUAAAAACUGUCCUGGAGAUUUUGCAGAAACACCAGCUAUAUGCUAAAUGGUCUAACUAUAGUUUUUUACAGGAGCAAAAGGAAUACUUCGGUCAUAUAAUCAAUCAAAGUGGUGUCUCAACUUAUCCCAACCAAAUCGAAUCAUCGCAGUAAUGGCCUACGCCUAAGAAAAUCAAACAAUUAAGGGAUUUUUUUAGGCCUUACAGAGAACUAUAGAAAAUUUGUGAAGAAUUAUGGGAUAAUAGCUAAACCUUUAACUGGCCUCCAUAAGAAGGAUAGCUUCAUUUGGUCAAAGGCAGCAGAUUCAACAUUUGUGUUAUUGAAAGAGGCUACGAGUUCCACCCUAGUCCUAGCACUCCCUGAUUUCAGCAAGUCAUUCAUCAUUGAAACAGAUGCAUGCCAAAGGAGCACAGGUACAAUACUCAUGCAGGAUAGGAGACCUCUAUCAUACUUACGAAAAGUCAUGGGGAUAAAAAAUAUGGGGUUAUCCAUAUAUAAGAAGGAGUUGUUGGUAUUGGUAACAACAGCAAACAAAUGGAGGCAAUAUUUGGAGAGCCACCACUUCAUUGUAAAGAUUGACCAUUAGUCUCUCAAGUACCUACUUGAGCAAAGAAUCACUACCCCGCUCCAACAAAAGUGGCUCAACAAACUGCUAGGCCCCAGUUAUGAGAUAGUGUAUAAGAAAGGGACAGAUAACCUAGUGGCAGACGCACUAUCCAGGAGACAUAAAGAGAGUUUAGAAUGGCAAAUAUAAUUCCUGCUUUGAUCCAAGAGGUAAUCAAUAACUAUAAGGGAGAGAUAAGGAUGAUGAAGAGAGGAUUCAAUCCGUGAUACUGCAGUCAGAUAAUGACCAUAAUUUUUCCUAUUGCAAUGGUCUACUGUAGGUACAAAGGUAAGAUUUAUAUCAGGACAGGUGGUGAUAUCAGAACAAAACUGAUUCAGAUUCUCCAUAAUUCACAAGAAGGAAGUCAUUUAAGAAUGCAAAAUAGCAUCUAUAAAGCAAAACAACAAUUUUAUUGGCCAGGAAUGAACCAGGAUAUCAAGAUAGAGGCAUUACAAUGUGAAGUUUGUCAGAGGUACAAAGGGGAACAUACACCCUAUCUUGGACUAUUGUAGCCCUUACCCGAGCAUCUUCACUCAUGAAGUCAUAUUAGCAUGGAUUGCAUCAAGAGGUAAAAAUGUCAUUUUUGUAGUGGUGGAUAGGUUCACAAAAUAUGGGCAUUUUUUGGCUCUCUCACAUCUUUUCGGCUUUCACUGUCGUGUCAGUGGCAAAGAUAUUUAUGGAUAAUGUGUACAAUUUACAUGAGAUGCCUCAAAGCAUCUUCUUUGAUAGAGAUAAGGUCUUUACUAGCUGGUUCUGGCAAAAAGUAUUCACCAUGUUAGGCACUAAACUUCAGCUCAGCUCUACAUACCACCCUCAAAGGCUCAAACGGAUGGGCAACCAAAGUUUGGAGAUGUAUUUGAGGUGUCUACUUUUCAACAGCCUAAAUUAUGGGGUAAGUGGCUAACUCUGGCUGAAUGGUGGAACGACGCCACUUACCACUCUACAAUUAGAAUGACCCCAUUUGAGAAAGAAGAAGAAAUGAAUAGCAGUAAUUGAAAUUCAAAUACAAAACGACAGUGUUUGGUGGAAGAGAAAAUUGCACCGUUUUACUUUGAUUAAAUAAAUUGUAAUUUUUGGCUUCAAAAACGCGACUUUACUUGUAUUGGAGACAGAUAGAUACGAGCAUGUGCGAGAUGGAGGUCAGUUGUCAUUUUCUGAAUUUUUAGUUGCUAGUUGAAAGGAUACUCGGUUCUCACCUCCCAUCCUUCUUAUUUACAUCAUUUUCACCCUGCCCAAAUCUUUUUUACUUUAAUUUUGGUUACAAAUUCUGUUGAUUCAGCUGUGUAGAGUUCCAUAGUCGAGUUGUGAAGCUGGAGGUUGCGGACUGAGGUUCAUUCCAUGACACGCACCUCCUCUGCCAAAUCUUCCACCUUUCGCCAGUAGGCAUCCAACACCACGCCCUUAUACCUCAAAUCAACAGCACAGUCGACCAAUUACACAUUACCGUUUUCGUAGCGCCUCUUCACGCAGAAAGUCCCCCACUCGCCGACUUAAAACCAAGAUCAACAACCAAUUGUAACAUCCAACAUUGAUUCGCACCAUAAAAAAAAACCCAAAAAUUUUGCUAAGUAGCAAAUCAGGGAAGAAACUUAGAAAACAGCAAAUCCCUCGUCGUUGUGCACAGUGCAUGCUCUGUUAAUCACGCUCUUCCCCUUGCCUAUGCACGACGUGAACGACGCUUCGCAGCAGCAUUGACCACUGCUGCAAAGCGUCGCUCACAACGCUGCUCGCCGCUGUGAAGAGCGUUUCAUAGUGGCGAGCACCGCUCUCUUGUGCGCAGCACUUCGUCGUAGAAAGUGAUGCCGCUUAGUGUUGGGGGUUUUGUCAGCUGACGGGGUAGAGGGGAUAGGAUAUAAAGAAAUGGUUUAGGGUCAGGGGAUGAAAUGUGGAUACGAUAGAUAGAAAAAUAAUUCUCGGUGUAGCACAACCCUAUUAAUAUUAAAGAAUAGAAUUAUUAAAUAAUUAAUUAUAACAUGAGGUUUGAAUAAAAAAAUUUGUAAAUUUUAUUUUUGAAUUGCGAAGUUGAAAUGCUUGGAUGGAUGUAAUUUUCAUGACUAAAUCUCCUUAUAUAUCUAGCCUUACACUAAAAAAGGUUAAACCCCAAUUUUGAGGACUUUCAUCGUUCCACACUUAAAAUUUUGUGAGGGAGGUAAAUUGCGAGACGUGUCAUAACAGAUCAGGAAACAAGAGCGGCAUUUACACUGCGCCUACAAGGACUUCAGUUCCAUAUUUCAAGAAUCGAAUCCCCACACUGUAGCUGUCAGUAAGGCGUGAGAUAACUCCACUCCUAUUUUUUGCAUCACUGAAUUAUGUUCCGGAGGACAUAUCUAGUCUUAUACUAAAAAAAGGUUGAACCCCAACCUUAAGGGUCCCCCACUACCCCUAUCCUGGAGCAUCGAUUGGGAGGUAAAUCGCAGGUUAUGCCUCCAAGGGUAUAGGGUGGAAGGCUGCUUGUACACUUGCACUUACUCAAGAGUCAAAUCUAUAUUUCAAGAUUCGAACCCUUGACGCAGCAGCCUCAAGUAAAGUUGGAUUUCUCUACCCUCCCCUUUUAUCACUUGAAAAUGUGCCUUGGGGGCAUAUCUAGUCAUAUACUUCUAUCAUGUAAGGGGGUGUACACUUAGCG
rnacentral:lncRNA from 1 species